GAUUGAACGCUGGCGGCAUGCCUUACCCAUGCAAGUCGAACGGUAACGGGUCCUUCGGGAUGCCGACGAGUGGCGAACGGGUGAGUAAUAUAUCGGAACGUGCCCAGUAGUGGGGGAUAACUGCUCGAAAGAGCAGCUAAUACCGCAUACGACCUGAGGGUGAAAGGGGGGGAUCGCAAGACCUCUCGCUAUUGGAGCGGCCGAUAUCAGAUUAGCUAGUUGGUGGGGUAAAGGCCUACCAAGGCAACGAUCUGUAGUUGGUCUGAGAGGACGACCAGCCACACUGGGACUGAGACACGGCCCAGACUCCUACGGGAGGCAGCAGUGGGGAAUUUUGGACAAUGGGCGCAAGCCUGAUCCAGCAAUGCCGCGUGCAGGAAGAAGGCCUUCGGGUUGUAAACUGCUUUUGUCAGGGAAGAAAUCUUCUGGGCUAAUACCCCGGGAGGAUGACGGUACCUGAAGAAUAAGCACCGGCUAACUACGUG
rnacentral:rRNA from 1 species